rnacentral:rRNA from 1 species
UUUAUUGUUGUGGGAUGAGCUUGCGUCCGAUUAGCUAGUUGGCGGGGUAAUAGCCCACCAAGGCGACGAUCGGUAGCCGGCCUGAGAGGGUGAUCGGCCACAUUGGGACUGAGAUACGGCCCAGACUCCUACGGGAGGCAGCAGUAGGGAAUAUUGCGCAAUGGGGGGAACCCUGACGCAGCAACGCCACGUGUGGGAAGAAGCAUUUCGGUGUGUAAACCACUGUCGGAAAGGAAUAACGGAAGACUUCGGUCUUUAUGAAUGUACUUUUAGAGGAAGCACCGGCAAACUUCGUGCCAGCAGCCGCGGUAAUACGAGGGGUGCAAGCGUUGUUCGGAAUCACUGGGCGUAAAGGGAGCGUAGGCGGAAGUGCAAGCAAUCUGUAUAAUCCUGGGGCCCAACCCCAGUUCUGCAGAUUGGACUGUAUUUCUUGAAUAGUUCAGAGGCAAGCGGAAUUUCUGGUGUAGCGGUGGAAUGCGUAGAGAUCAGAAAGAACACCAAUGGCGAAGGCAGCUUGCUGGGGACUUAUUGACGCUGAGGCUCGAAAGUGUGGGUAGCAAACAGGAUUAGAUACCCUGGUAGUCCACACUGUAAACGAUGCAUACUGGGUGUCCGAAAUUCGUUUCGGGUACCGUAGCUAACGCGUUAAGUAUGCCGCCUGGGGAGUACGUACGCAAGUAUGAAACUCAAAGGAAUUGACGGGGGCCCGCACAAGCGGUGGAGCAUGUGGUUUA